rnacentral:rRNA from 1 species
AGUGAACGCUGGCGGUAGGCCUAACACAUGCAAGUCGAACGGCAGCACAGUAAGAGCUUGCUCUUACGGGUGGCGAGUGGCGGACGGGUGAGGAAUACAUCGGAAUCUACUUUUUCGUGGGGGAUAACGUAGGGAAACUUACGCUAAUACCGCAUACGACCUACGGGUGAAAGCAGGGGACCUUCGGGCCUUGCGCGAUUGAAUGAGCCGAUGUCGGAUUAGCUAGUUGGCGGGGUAAAGGCCCACCAAGGCGACGAUCCGUAGCUGGUCUGAGAGGAUGAUCGGCCACACUGGAACUGAGACACGGUCCAGACUCCUACGGGAGGCAGCAGUGGGGAAUAUUGGACAAUGGGCGCAAGCCUGAUCCAGCCAUACCGCGUGGGUGAAGAAGGCCUUCGGGUUGUAAAGCCCUUUUGUUGGGAAAGAAAUCCAGCCGGUUAAUACCUGGUUGGGAUGACGGUACCCAAAGAAUAAGCACCGGCUAACUUCGUGCCAGCAGCCGCAGUAAAAC